GCAGUCAUGGCCAAGUGGUUAGGGCGAUGGACUAAAAACCCAUUGCGGUCUCCCCGCACAGGUUCACAUCCUGUCGACUGCG
rfam:Ixodes scapularis strain Wikel colony gcontig_1107728980884, whole genome shotgun sequence.